UACAUGGGGUGCAAACGUUGCUCGGAAUUAUUGGGCGUAAAGCGCACGUAGGCGGAUUGUUAAGUCAGGGGUGAAAUCCUGGAGCUCAACUCCAGAACUGCCUUUGAUACUGGCGAUCUCGAGUCCGGGAGAGGUGAGUGGAACUGCGAGUGUAGAGGUGAAAUUCGUAGAUAUUCGCAAGAACACCAGUGGCGAAGGCGGCUCACUGGCCCGGUACUGACGCUGAGGUGCGAAAGCGUGGGGAGCAAACAGG
rnacentral:rRNA from 1 species